UGGAUUUAAGUUCUAAUUAGAUUGGGACUGUCUAAAAUGAAUCGAGCUUGAAUAGAAUUCGAGUUGGAUUCGAAUCAAAUUGAGUCCAAAUUGAGCCUAAUUGGAUAAGGAUGUAAGAGUUUCAAUUUUAUUGGGACUCUCUCUCUCCUCUCAUAGUAGCGUGCCCCCUCCUUUGGAGUGCGUAAAAUGAGAAGAGAGGAUGCCAACCUCUUCUCUGGGCUUCUCUCUCUUCUUGCUACAUGGGAUUGGAUUAGUUCAAUCUAAAUUUGAACUUUUUAUCUGAUAAGAGUUUAAAUUUAGUGGAACUCUAUCUAAUCCCCUUGACCACAUCUAUAAAAAAGAUAGAGUUUUUGAGCAU
rnacentral:lncRNA from 1 species